UUAAAUUGAAGAGUUUGAUCAUGGCUCAGAUUGAACGCUGGCGGCAGGCCUAACACAUGCAAGUCGAACGGUAACAGGAAAUAGCUUGCUGUUU
rnacentral:rRNA from 1 species